rnacentral:lncRNA from 1 species
AUACACUUGCUGGAUGUUGUUGUAGACCCCUUAUAAUAUGUAAUUAGUGAAUGUUACUUUUUACAUGUUGCAAAAGGCAUUUUUUUUCUUGUAGUGAGACCUAGAAAAAUCUCCGCACCUUUCUCGUGACUUUCAAAGCAUCCACGUUGACUCCCUCCAGCCACUUCUCCACCACUUUCGGCCUAUCGAUUCCACUUUCAUCUGAACUCCGAACCAUUGCCAAAUGUGGAAGAAAAAUGAGGAACAGUGUCUAAGGUCUUGAACAAAAAGAAAG